UACGGAGGGUGCAAGCGUUGUCCGGAAUCACUGGGCGUAAAGGGCGCGUAGGCGGCUCAUGAAGGCUGUGGUGAAAGUCCGGGGCUCAACCUCGGAUCGGCCGUGGCGACUCGUGGGCUGGAGCACUGUAGAGGCGGGUGGAAGUCCGGGGGUAGCGGUGGAAUGCGUAGAGAUCCGGAAGAACACCAGUGGCGAAGGCGGCCCGCUGGGCAGUGGCUGACGCUGAGGCGCGACAGCGUGGGGAGCAAACAGG
rnacentral:rRNA from 1 species